UACAGAGGGUGCAAGCGUUCAUCGGAAUUACUGGGCGUAAAGCGCGCGGAGGUGGUUGGUUAGGCUGGAUGUGAAUGCCCCGGGCUCAACCUGGGAACUGCAUCCACAACUGGCCGAGUAGAGUACAGUAGAGGGUGGUGGAAUUUCCUGUGUAGCGGUGAAAUGCGUAGAUAUAGGAAGGAACACCAGUGGCGAAGGCGACCACCUGGACUGAUACUGACACUGAGGUGCGAAAGCGUGGGGAGCAAACAGG
rnacentral:misc_RNA from 1 species